AUUAAGAGAAUUCAACAAAAAUGCCUAUCCUAAGGGAGCAUUCCCAUAAAUUCAAACUCAACAACAAUUUCCGCUUUUUGAUCCCAAUCUUUCUUCUUUUCUUAUUUUUCACAUCCAUACAACCAUGAGCUUUCUUUUUGUUUUUUCUUUCUUUUCUUUUUCUUUGCUCCAUAAUUUCAAAGGUGACUUAUUUUUUUCUUGUUUCUUUUCACACUUUCACCUUUUCUAAAACAUAACUUUUCCAUGUUUCUAAUCAACUCUUCUAAUUUACUCUCCCCAACUUUAGAUUUCAAGACCAAAUUUAUUCAAUAAUGCUCCCUACUUAGACAUAGGCGAAAGACAAAAUUUGCAAACAAACUCGAUUGAAGUUUCAAUUGAA
rnacentral:lncRNA from 1 species